rnacentral:rRNA from 1 species
CGGCUGGCGGCGUGCUUAACACAUGCAAGUCGAACGGUGACCCAGGGCUUGCCCUGGUGAUCAGUGGCGAACGGGUGAGUAACACGUGGGCAACCUGCCCCUGACUUCGGGAUAACUCCUCGAAAGAGGAGCUAAUACCGGAUACGACCACUUCGGACAUCCGAUGGUGGUGGAAAGUUUUUCGGUCAGGGAUGGGCCCGCGGCCUAUCAGCUAGUUGGUGGGGUAAUGGCCUACCAAGGCGACGACGGGUAGCCGGCCUGAGAGGGCGACCGGCCACACUGGGACUGAGACACGGCCCAGACUCCUACGGGAGGCAGCAGUGGGGAAUAUUGCGCAAUGGGCGAAAGCCUGACGCAGCGACGCCGCGUGAGGGAUGAAGGCCUUCGGGUUGUAAACCUCUUUCAGCAGGGACGAAGCGAAAGUGACGGUACCUGCAGAAGAAGCACCGGCUAACUACGUG